rnacentral:rRNA from 1 species
UUUUACGGCCAUAUCACGAUGAAAAUACCGGUUCUCGUCCGAUCAUCGAAGGUGAGAAACAUCGAGCCUAGUAACUACUUAGAUGGGUGACCUACGUGCUGUAAACA